CAGUAGCCGCGGGAAUACGAGGGGGGCAAGCGUUGUUCGGAAUUAUUGGGCGUAAAGGGUGCGUAGGCGGCUUGACAAGUCUUGUGUGAAAUCUAUGGGCUCAACCCAUAGUCUGCACGGGAAACUGUCGGGCUUGAGAAUGGGAGAGGUGAGUGGAAUUUCCGGUGUAGCGGUGAAAUGCGUAGAUAUCGGAAGGAACACCUGUGGCGAAAGCGGCUCACUGGACCAUUUCUGACGCUGAUGCACGAAAGCUAGGGGAGCAAACAGGAUUAGAUACCCGGGUAGUCCCUGUCUCUUAUAC
rnacentral:rRNA from 1 species